AGAAUGAACGCUGGCGGCAUGCCUAACACAUGCAAGUCGAACGAAGCCUUCGGGUUUAGUGGCGCACGGGUGCGUAACGCGUGGGAAUCUACCCCUUGGUUCGGAAUAACAGUUGGAAACGACUGCUAAUACCGGAUGAUGACGUAAGUCCAAAGAUUUAUCGCCGAGGGAUGAGCCCGCGUAGGAUUAGGUAGUUGGUGUGGUAAAGGCGCACCAAGCCGACGAUCCUUAGCUGGUCUGAGAGGAUGAUCAGCCACACUGGGACUGAGACACGGCCCAGACUCCUACGGGAGGCAGCAGUGGGGAAUAUUGGACAAUGGGCGAAAGCCUGAUCCAGCAAUGCCGCGUGAGUGAUGAAGGCCUUAGGGUUGUAAAGCUCUUUUACCCGGGAUGAUAAUGACAGUACCGGGAGAAUAAGCUCCGGCUAACUCCGUGCCAGCAGCCGC
rnacentral:rRNA from 1 species